rnacentral:lncRNA from 1 species
CCCACUCGCCACACCCCGCUAAGUCUACCCCUUGCUCUCGCUUGCUCGUGUCCAUUCUCUCCUCACUCCCCUCUCUCUAUUCCCACUGCCCCGUCUUUGUCUACAUGGGUCAUAUCUAACUUGAGUGACGUGGGGAGUCCCCACCUGAUGUCCCUCACGUCCUACCUCCUACCUGCAUGCAUGGCCUUCUGUGGACACUCGUGGGGGUGCAGCAUCUUCCCUCGUAGCUUUUUUCAGAACCGUAAUUCUGACCCUACCACCCUCUUGCUUAAAAGACUUGGAAGGCUUGCUCUAGUUUCCAGAAAACUCUAAAUUCCUUUGUGCCGGACAGAAGUCCUAUUGGAAUCUGGCCCCUUUUCUUCUCUUGAGCUCAUCUCUGGCCGGUCGAACCCCAGGGAGUGAUAAUUAGACAAGUCAAUCACAGAAAGAGUACAAUUUUCUGGCCUCAGGGCUUGCCCAUUUUAAAGGUCAUCCAGGCAGAGGCAGCCGUCCAGACCACGGAGGCCAGAGUUGAAGGCUCUGAUUCAGAGUCUACAGAGCAACAGCAUCCACUGCUGGCCCCAAGCCCCUGGUCCUGCUCCUGUGCCCCUCAAGAGAGCAUCUUUCUGUAUUCCGGACUCCCAUCAGGCCAUGCGCCUCCAAUCACAGCCAAGGGACAGGUCCGUGGACACAGACAGCACAGGUUAUUCAGGAACUAGCUCAUGUGGCAGCUUCCUUCCAAGAGGUAACACGGAAUUUGACGCGGGUUACCCACGCUCCCCGCGCAGUACAUGGGAACCAUGCUUGAGAAGGAUCUGGAGGUAACUGCAUGGAGGAUGUCCACUGGGUGCCUAUGUACUCCUGCCAUUCAGGAGACCACUUCUCCCUUAAGAUUUAUGACUUUAUUUUAUGCUGUCAAAAUUCCAAGAUGCUGUAGUGACUAAUGGGAAGCAAGGAAAGGGAAGGAAUACUUCAGGUAGUGGAAAUACCAGAGAUGAUGGUUUCAUGUUUUUUUUUAAUGUUUAUUUAUUUUUGAGAGAGAGACAGAUAGAUAGAGUGUGAGCGGGGGAGGGACAGAGAGAGAGGGACACACGGAACCCGAAGCAGACUCCAGGCUCGGAGCUGUCAGCACAGAGCCCGGCACAGGGCUUGACCUCACGAACCCCGAGAUCACGACCUGAGACAAAGUCGGAUGCUUAACCAACCAAGCCACCCAGAGAUGAAAGUUUACAAGUUAGCAAAUGUUUACUGAGCACCUAUUACACACCGCUGGCUGAUUCCAGAUACACAGAGUUCAGGGCCACGCCACCCCUUAAG